rnacentral:lncRNA from 1 species
GAGUCACAUAACAAAACAGCGUAUAAAAAGGAUGCAAAAAAAACCCUCACACAUCAUGUAUAUACAAAUAGAUGGAGUGUAUACAUACAGAGGAAAGAGAGAAAAAAAGAGAAUAUGGGUAGCCUUUUCUUUAUGUUCUGUCCAACAACCACAAUAAGUUUGCCCAGGCUUCGUUACCUCUAGACUCAUCCACCAAAAGGUCCAAGGACCUCAGCUCCGAAAGAAAGACAGAUACCCUGUCUGCUGUAGAAAACCUUUGUUGAUCAUCUUUAUAUCUCAUCCAGAUUUUAAAGAUGGACGGUUUUGCUAUUGUUAGAGUCAGAUUUGUAAAAUAUCUGUUACUUGCUGAUGUGCACAGUUCUACUCUAAAGGUGAUAUUAAACUGAGACAUAAGUGCGGAAACCUGGUUCCAAAAGCCACCCAGACAACGACAUGAAACAAACAUAUGUUCUGUAUCUUCUUUUACCAAACAAAAAGCACAUAGAGGAGUGGGGACCAGCUUCCAUUUAUACAGGUUUGACAUAUUUGGAAGAAUUCCAUGUAAUAUUUUGAAAUUGUAUUCGGCCAAUUUCCUAUCUGGAGAUAAUUUUAUUGUUUGUCUCUGUCACACAUUGCUCCACAUGAUGUUGUUUGUUUGGUCGGCUAGUGCAGCAUACCAAUAUGUCUGCAUAUAUGAUGUCUUUAUUUUUUCUUUUAACAACAGCUUAUAGAUUAUCUCGCAAGUAUAGCCUGUCGGAGCAAUGUGUGCAUCAGUGUUGUCAUCUCUUAAUGUUAUACUGUUGCUCAGAAAUGGGAGCCAUUUUUGGGAAUUUCCUUUCUGAUGAUGAAUAAUUCGCUAAUUUCUCUUAUCCAGUUUUGAAGCUUUGGUUUUUCCUUUACAGAUAGAUCUUUCAAGAUAAAUUAUGCCUGAGUCAAUCCAAUGUUUGUAGAAAAGGGACUUCCCUCUAGAAUCUGUUUAAAAGGCAGAUCCCCAGAUGAUAUGGUUUCCGACUUCAUCUGCUGUACAUGGUUCCUUCACAAAACCACCUCCUGCUUUGUGCCAGCUUUGAAUAAUGCCUUGAUAAAAAAGUGGGAAUUCCUGUCAGAUCUGGACAGUGUUUUUUUUCUUUAAAGUGCAUUCUUAAGAUAAGGAAAUCUUUACCUAGUCUAUUUAAAUACAAUUUGGGUAGCAGUUUCCAAUCUCCUGAUGAUGUAUCCAUGAUGCGCUUCACCCAGCCAGCAUGAAGUGCUUCUAUAUGAGAUUGAAUAUCUAACAUUUUUAUACCCCUUGUAUUAUAAUCUCCUAAAAUAACAGAUCUUUUGAUUUUAUCUCUCUUUCCAGACCAAAGAAAGUCAAAAAACAAAGUAUUCAGCCUGACAGUCACAUUAUUUGGCACAUCACACACAGUAGCCCAGUACAUAAUUUUAGCUGCAAUCAAUGAUUUCAGAAUAGUUACUUUGCCAUAUAAUGUGAGAUUCCUUUGUCUCCAUAGAUUUAAAACAUGUUCUAUAUUAUUGAUUUUCUCAUUCCAUAGGUUCGUCUCACAUGAAAGUUUGUUGUUGUGGUGUGGCUGGUGAGCUGCGAGGACCCAGAAGCAGGCACUGAGACAGAGAUCAACUAAAGGUGUAAUUUUAAUGUCCAAACUCAGGAUUGAAAUGCAAACAGAGGAAGUCCGGAGGGCUGGUUGGCUGGCUGUCGUGUAGGCUGGAGACACUGCAGGAAAAACCAGAGGAGAAGGAAGUAAGUGAACAUGCAAAGAAUCACAAGGAGCAAAGUUAUUGAUACUCAUACAACGAGGAAGGCCAGGGGCCUGUUCUACGAAGCAGGAUUACUGCUUAGCGAGGUAACUUCGAGGAUAAGUUCGGGGUUUCCUGUUCUACGACGCGGGUUCACUUCUUAGCGAGGCGAGUCUCCAUGGCAACAUACGCUGAACGGCUUACCUGCUCCGGGGCAGGCUAAGUUCCAGAUUGAACUCACGGAGCAUAAAAACCCUGCCCACUGACCAAUGAGCUCUCUCGAAAAACGGCUUGUCCGUUCUUGGAGGAUCCUGUAGACCUCGGUGCUCGCAUUGUCCGAGGAGCACUCCGGCGCGCGAGAGUUUUCAGGGACCGCACGGACCCACUUACUUCUCCGGAUGACCACCUUUAUGAAAGGCUCAUAUGGCCGACAUAUCACACAAAACAUGUAAACACGAUAGGAAUGAAUACAUGAAUGAAUUCAUCUUGGAAAUGAAUGGGCAUGGGCUGCGUGAUCACAGACAACAUCUCGGUACUAUUUAGUAGCAGCGCAUGCCCCUUUUAAUAACCCCGUAAAUACUGUUGUUCAUGACUGUUUACUUGUGCUUCCUACCUACUGUAACAACUGUUGUUCUAGCAUACAUGCAAAAUUUUUGUUCUCAUUCAUCAAACGCUUAAAUCGGGGACAUUUUCGGGGACAGCUUUAGCCGGGGACAGAUCAUCCAAUUCGGCGCUGAGGCUGAGGGCUGCAGGCUUCUUAAAGUGCUUUGAUUGGAGAUGUGGAGCAGGUGUGUAGUCUCACUCAGCCUCAGGGACCGGGGGAGGGGCGGAAGCUCUGGAAGAGAGUGAAGCCAGACCAGGCAAACAAGGAAACACAGGAAGUCCAGCCAAAAUAAAACAAGAGAAGGAGGCGUCUCACCACAGUUGUAACCAAAAUGUACACCAAGUGAUUUUACAGGACCAGUUGGCCACCUUAUUCCACUGAUUUCUUUUCGCCUAAAUUUCCAGCAACCAACCCAAAUUGCUUCGGUUUUCUGUAAGUUCAAUUCAGGGCCUGCAACUUUGCCAAAAGAUGAUAUCAUUUCUAGUGCUGUAGUUAGUGACCUUUCGCCACCAAGCAGUAGAGUAGUAUCAUCUGCUACUUGUGAAGUUUUAACCUCAUGGGUAGCACUUCCAUCUGACAAAUUGAUACCUUUGAUGUUUGCAUUUUGAUUAAUAUACAGUGCUAGAAUUUCCAUGGCAAAAAGAAACAAGAUUGCGGACAAAGGGCAACCUUGCCUAAUUCCCCGACUAAGGUCAAAGAAUUCUCCAUUGUUGACUACUGCACUACAGUUUGUAUGAAUAGUUUGAAUCCAUCUUAGAAACAAACUCCCAAAGUUGAAUCUCUUUAGUGCUUUAAAUAAAAAGAUCCACUCUACACUAUCAAAUGCCUUUUUAAAGUCUAGAAAGAGAACUAUACCAGGAAUUUGUAAAGCGCCGAGAGUGUGUGGACCCAAAAGCAGUGGACGUGAGGCAAUUGUUCAGUUUCCAAAGGGCAAACUCUUUUAUUCCAACCAAAAGAAAACCCGGCAGGGUCAAAAUCAGAGCAGCAAAUAAUCAGGCGACAAAAACCAGUGGGACAGGCAAGAAUCAAAAAUCCAGGACGAUCAAAACAGGUCAUACACGGGAAGCAGAGAUAUGCGACAAAAACCAGUGGGACAGGCAAGAAUCAAAAAUCCAGGACGAUCAAAACAGGUCAUACACGGGAAGCAGAGAUAUAUCAAAACGCGAGAGAGCUUGUACUAAAGUGACAAAGACAAUCUGGCAGGGAAGAGCUAGUGAGGAGGGGUUAAAUAGAGAAGGGGACAAAACACAGGUGAAGCCAAUGGGGUAAUUAACUAAGGCGGGAAAAGGAACAAAGACCGGAAGUAAAGGUAACAGCAACACAGGAAAAACAGGAUCUUCAAAAUAAAACAGGAAGUGGAUUUCACAGCACAGAUCAUGACAGUACCUCCCCCCUCAAGGGGCGUCUCUAGACUACCCCGGAACAUCUG